UACGUAGGCAGCAAGCGUUGUUCGGAGUUACUGGGCGUAAAGAGCGUGUAGGCGGCUUGUUAAGUCUUGCGUGAAAUCUCGGGGCUCAACCCCGAGCGGUCGUGAGAAACUGGCAGGCUAGAGUGCGGGAGAGGAGAGUGGAAUUCCUGGUGUAGCGGUGAAAUGCGCAGAUAUCGGGAGGAACACCGGUGGCGAAGGCGGUUCUCUGGGCCUUACCUGACGCUGAGGAGCGAAAGCGUGGGGAGCGAACAGG
rnacentral:rRNA from 1 species